CAUGUGGUUUAAUUCGAAGCAACGUGCAGAACCUUACCAGCGUUUGACAUGGCUAGUAUGUUUUCCAGAGAUGGAUUACUUCAGUUCGGCUGGCUAGCACACAGGUGCUGCAUUGCUGUCGUCAGCUCGUGUCGUGAGAUGUUGGGUUAAGUCCCGCAACGAGCGCAACCCUCGCCUUUAGUUACCAUCAUUUAGUUGGGUACUCUAAAGGAACCGCCGGUGAUAAGCCGGAGGAAGGUGGGGAUGACGUCAAGUCCUCAUGGCCCUUACGCGCUGGGCUACACACGUGCUACAAUGGCGACUACAGUGGGCAGCAAUCCCGCGAGGGUGAGCUAAUCUCCAAAAGUCGUCUCAGUUCGGAUUGCACUCUGCAACUCGAGUGCAUGAAGGCGGAAUCGCUAGUAAUCGCGGAUCAGCAUGCCGCGGUGAAUACGUUCCCAGGCCUUGUACACACCGCCCGUCACACCAUGGGAGUUGGAUUCACCCGAAGGCGUUGCGCUAACCCGUAAGGGAGGCAGGCGACCACGGUGGGUUUAGCGACUGGGGUGAAGUCGUAACAAGGUAACC
rnacentral:rRNA from 1 species